ACCGGUGCGGCGUCCCCGCGCGGGGAGCAGCGGCGAGCAGACCCCGCCCCCGGCUCGCCCCAACUGCGCGCGGCCUCUGUUGGCGCUGGCUUCGGGGACCUGCCGUGCAAGGGCUGCGCCUCGACCAAAGUUUGUCCAGGGGCGCCCGCCGCGAGGAGUUUGUGAGAACGGCGGCGGCCCCGAGGCCUGCGGCCCCGCGGGCGUGGCGAGCCGGCUGCGUCCCUGCCGCGCCGCGCCGCGCCGGGCGGCGUGCCUCCGAGUCGCAGAGCCCGCGCCCCCGGCAGCUCGGGAAAGCCGAGCCAGGCGAGCGGCAGGCUGGAACGGCUGCGGGCGGAGCGAAGUUGGCGGGCGCCGCGACCCCGCGGCGGGCCAGGGCGCUCCUGUCCCGGAGCCCGCGCCCGCGGAGCCUGCCGCGCUCCGCCGCCUCGUCGAGCCCCGCGUCCCAGGCGGCCCGCGGCGAGCGCACCGAGACGGGGGUUUGGACACAACCUGUGAUUUCUGUAUCUGGUGCGAAGUGUUGGGAAACGAGGGAGGAGGCGGCGUGACUGAUGAAUCAAAUACUGCCUUGAAAUAUUUAAUUUACCAUUUUGGCUCUGGGAUGACUAGUGAGUGAAUAAAAAAACUUCCAAUGCUUCAGUAAAGAGGUUCACUUUGUGAAAUUACCGGAAAAAAAAGAAAGUGGUCGUUCCAUCUCCCUCGGAGUGAGCGCCUUGAAAUCGGCCCCGUGGACGGCAGGCCUGGCUGACUGAACGCUGUAGGAGGCCUGCGAAGAGGUUAACUUAGAAACCAAAGUAACGGGCCGUGAGUCACACGGUGUUCCAGCACCGGCAAAGACGUGGGCAAGACGCCAAAGCCACGACGCAGGCGUGCCCCAGAGCUCCCCAGCGUGCUUCCACCCACUGCUUAUAAGGCCGAGAAAGUAGGGGGAUCCCACGCGCACCUUGGUCCUGUCUCCGGAAGACCUCACAACCGACGGACGAGGGUGACUGGCCAGAGCAGCCCUGAGCCCAAAUGGAAGGCCUCUGCUGAAACUGGAUGGCUUGGACUUCCUCUAAGGAGCUCCAUUAGACCACAUGUGAACAGAAGCAUGGCAGUUCCAGUUCCAUCCAUCGAUGGCAGUGACCUCUGGGACGUGAACCUCUAUGAUCCUCAGUUUCCACUUAGGUUAAAGGACUAAUACCUGCUCAAAUGGAAUUAUAAAAUUAUGAGGAGGAUGAAAUGAGGUCCAUGUGAAAUACUUUAUAUAAUGUACAGCGAUAUACAGAUGAGAAUUAUUAUAUCUUAUACGUAGCAUCAUGAGCCUGUAUUUCAUUCCCUUUUUACAGGAAAAGAUACUGAGAGCAGAAAGUCCAAAUUUAUUAGGGAUUUGUGUUAAAGAUGGUAUACUGAACACACUCUUGUACCUUUGCCUCCUCCUGAAAUCCUAAAAUAAUGACAAUAAAGAGAUAGGGAGAAAAAAAGGAGGCAUUAGCAACACAAUUUUGAAAGUGGAAAAGCAAAAGUGGAAAGAAGAGUGGCAACUUACCAGCAGAACAAGGGAAAACGAAUCCUAAGCUGCAACUUGAGAAACUCAAGAAGCACUCUACUCUGCACCCCCGAAGUCCCCAAGGCUUCAGGAAGUGGGGUCUAAGUGGGCUGCAAACAGGAGGGUUGUUAAAAGUCUGUUUAAAUGUAGUGAACACCCGCUGACCAAAUCAUCUUUUCUCUGCUUGACCAAGGUGACUGCCUCUCAUCUGCUCUGGCUGAAGAUUAGAGGUUAAUGCUCUGGCAGAGUCACAGCAGGCAGAGUUUGCACUGCUUGGGGACAUCAGGCACAAGUGAGGUUGGGACUACCAUGUUGAAGAUGGAGCUUAAGUGACAGUGUAAAUAAUGAAUUCUGAAACACCUCAACCUUUUUUCCCCCUCAGCUUCCAGAACAUUGACCACUAGGCUUCUCUUCUCCAGACAGAAGAUGAGAAGAUUCUUCUCUGAAGAAUCUGACCAGCUCAAGAGAUAAGACCUAGAUUCCGAUGUUGGGGUUCUGCCAAUGAAACCGUCCAGUAGCUGACAAACAUGUACGUGCCUCAACCACAUGCUUGGAACUUCCCACAAGCUUCAAAAUGCCCCAUUUUUUUUCUUCUAUCUAUUUAUAGCUCUACUGAGGUAUAGUUUACAACUAUAAAAUAAUGUCCCACUUUUAAAUAUGAUAGAGAAUCAGGGGCUAUCAGAAAGCUGAGGAAAAUCUCUAAUAUGAAACAUAAUAAACAGAAACAACUAACAUCAGAUAUUAGACGGAGACAUGAAAACUUCAAAAAAUAUCUAUCAAUAACAGUCUUAGAGCCUCUUUAAAAUAAAAGCAAGAUGCUAUAGAAAGGAGUAUCCAAAGAACAAAAAUGAAUUCUUAGAAAUUAAAAAUAAAAUAGCAGAAAUCAAAGACUCAAUAGAGAGGAUGGAAAAUAAAGUUCUUGAAUUUAUUCAUUAAAGUAGAACAAGUUUACUUUCCAUUAAAGCAGGAGAAAAAGACAUGGAGAAGAAAUACAGGAAUGAAAAGAUGAGAAAAUCAGAACAUUAGGCCAGGAACAUUUAUCAUCCAGAAAAUGAAGUUCCAAAGGAAAAGAAAAAGAGAGAAAACAGAGGGACAUAAAUAAUCAGAAAAUAAACGAAGAACAUUUUCCAGAAAUGAAGGGCUUGGAUCUCCAGAUGGAAAGGUCCCUUUGAAGCCCAGCAUAAAAGAGGAGAAUAGCCCUAGAACAUGCACAUCAUCGUGAAAUUUCAGAGCAGUGGGACAAAGAAAAGAUAUCCCAAGCUUCCAGAGAGGAAAAACUGGCUUCAGAAAAUGGAUUGUGAAGCAGAAUGAAUUUAGACUUCUCAACAGCAUUCAGAAGCCUGGAAAACAACAGAAUAAAGGCUUCAAAAUUCUGAAAGAAAGCUAUUUCCUAUCUGAAAUUGUAUUCUCAGCCACACUAAAAUAAAGUGUUAUGGCGAAAUAAAAACAUGUUCAAAUAUGCAAAGUUUCAGAAAAAUUAACUUCUUCUAAGGAAACUACUGACAGAUGUGCUCCACCCAAAUGAGAGAGCAAACCAAGAAUUAAAAAGGCAUAGAAUUUGGAAUACAAAAGAUUCAACACAGGAAAGACAGAGAGAAUUCUCAGGAUUAUAGUGUAGGGAGAUCUCAGAUGACAGCUGUGCAGAACACCCAGGGAAGACUGGGUUGAGUCAGGAGGUCCAUGAGAGUUGUCUCCAAGAAGAUGAAAUUAAUAGAAUCCUUUAAACAUAGUGAGAGGAGAUUUAGAUGUUCAUGCGUAGAAUUUGGAAUGAAUUGGUGAUACAAAUUAGAUGAUUAGAAAAUUAAGCCAGCAAAAAAUAAGUCUAUUGUUAACUCCAAAAAGUUGUGAAGGAAAGAAAAUGUGAUCAUAGAAUACAACAUGUCACUGUGAACAGCAUUUGGUUGUUAUAAUAAUGUUAACAAUAAAUAUUUAUCUCACCCAAAUUAUUAUAUAACUGUAUUGAGAGGCUGGGAACACAGAAGUGUGGUGUUUCUGCUGUAUGGGGGUGAUGGUGGUGAGGGAGGGUAGUAAAGGAGAGCCGAAUCUUCAUCCUCCCACAUGGAGAGUCAAUAGCAAAGUCUUAAAUUAGUAGUAUAUAAACAUGGUAUUUAGAUAUGUGAAGGUAAAUAUCAAAAGAAAUGGUUAAUAGUGUUAAAAGUGAUUGUCCCUAAGAAUAGGAAAUGUGUAUGGGGGCGGAGGAGAGUGGUCAUCAUGUGGUCAUUAGGACAGAUUUUGUGCAUUUGUAACUGUAAUAAAACUAUAAACUAAAUUGCUCAAAAAGUCAACUAAAUUGCCAAACUAUAUUUUUGGCACAGGAGACAAAAUUAUAGUUUCUCAACAUCUUUUCUUUGGAUUAUACAACUUGCCCCAUUUCUAAGCACUUGAGACACUGAAAUUACAAAUAGCCAAUGGCUAGACCAAAUAUAAAAAUAGAACUCUGACCCAUAAUCUGCAGCAACGAGCCCAGGAAGCCAACCUGCUAUAAGCCCACCUUGUAGGAAAUCAGACCAUAACCCCUUGCAACAAUUGGCCCCAAAUGGCCAGAACUUGAUUAAUAACUGACAGCUUCCCUAAUUUUUGUCCCAGCUUCCAACUGAGGACCAACUCGUGAAAGGCAAGUGUACACCCCUAACCAAUUACCUAGGAUGCA